rnacentral:lncRNA from 1 species
AUCUCUUUCUUCUCACCAAUACACUACUCUAUCAUUCAGUAUACUGCAAUAUAAUUUAUAUGCACAGGGAGCUAAAGUUAUGCCCCUAUAUGACAAAGGAUCUCGUGGAUCUGAAGUUGAAGACUUAGGAAUUGGGGUUAUAAUACUUUUACCCCAUACAGAAGGAAUUUUUCCAUACUUGAAACAUAUAUUAAAUAACUUAUGCAAAAUUAACAUCAAUGCAUUAUUUUUAAAUAAUUCUACUGACA